GUCAAACUGAAACCAGAUGUUUUUCUUUUCUUUUCAUCACAGGUUAUUUAUUUGAUCCUCUCACUUUUCUUCAAAUACGUAUGAGACCAGAGCAGCAACCCCAGCACAACAUAUCCCAAAUGAAAGAUAGUCCUUCUUCCUGGAUCCUGGAAUAAGAAGAAAUGUGGAGGAGACCCAAUCCAACCCACAGCCUGACUCUCUAUGUGAUAAGAAAUAAGUGUUUAUAUUCAUAAGCCA